rnacentral:tRNA from 1 species
UAAGGUAUAGCUUAGAGGCAUAGCAAGUGCCUUUCAUGCACAAUACUCUGGGUUUCAUCCCCAGCCCUGUAG